CUUGUACACACCGCCCGUCACACCAUGGGAGCGGGUUUCACCAGAAGUAGCUAGCCUAACCGCAAGGGGGGCGCUUACCACGGUGUGGCCAAUGACUGGGGUG
rnacentral:rRNA from 1 species